rnacentral:rRNA from 1 species
CCUACGGGUGGCAGCAGUGGGGAAUAUUGGACAAUGGGGGGAACCCUGAUCCAGCCAUGCCGCGUGUGUGAAGAAGGCCCUCGGGUUGUAAAGCACUUUCAGUGAGGAAGAACGCCUGGUGGUUAAUACCCAUCAGGAAAGACAUCACUCACAGAAGAAGCACCGGCUAACUCCGUGCCAGCAGCCGCGGUAAUACGGAGGGUGCGAGCGUUAAUCGGAAUUACUGGGCGUAAAGCGCGCGUAGGUGGCUUGAUAAGCCGGUUGUGAAAGCCCCGGGCUCAACCUGGGAACGGCAUCCGGAACUGUCAAGCUAGAGUGCAGGAGAGGAAGGUAGAAUUCCCGGUGUAGCGGUGAAAUGCGUAGAGAUCGGGAGGAAUACCAGUGGCGAAGGCGGCCUUCUGGACUGACACUGACACUGAGGUGCGAAAGCGUGGGUAGCAAACAGGAUUAGAUUACCCGUGUAGUC